rnacentral:rRNA from 1 species
UCGCUGUGAAGAUGCAGUGUACCCGCGGCAAGACGGAAAGACCCCGUGAACCUUUACUAUAGCUUGACACUGAACAUUGAGCCUUGAUGUGUAGGAUAGGUGGGAGGCUUUGAAGUGUGGACGCCAGUCUGCAUGGAGCCGACCUUGAAAUACCACCCUUUAAUGUUUGAUGUUCUAACGUGGACCCGUGAUCCGGGUUGCGGACAGUGUCUGGUGGGUAGUUUGACUGGGGCGGUCUCCUCCUAAAGAGUAACGGAGGAGCACGAAGGUUGGCUAAUCCUGGUCGGACAUCAGGAGGUUAGUGCAAUGGCAUAAGCCAGCUUGACUGCGAGCGUGACGGCGCGAGCAGGUGCGAAAGCAGGUCAUAGUGAUCCGGUGGUUCUGAAUGGAAGGGCCAUCGCUCAACGGAUAAAAGGUACUCCGGGGAUAACAGGCUGAUACCGCCCAAGAGUUCAUAUCGACGGCGGUGUUUGGCACCUCGAUGUCGGCUCAUCACAUCCUGGGGCUGAAGUAGGUCCCAAGGGUAUGGCUGUUCGCCAUUUAAAGUGGUACGCGAGCUGGGUUUAGAACGUCGUGAGACAGUUCGGUCCCUAUCUGCCGUGGGCGCUGGAGAACUGAGGGGGGCUGCUCCUAGUACGAGAGGACCGGAGUGGACGCAUCACUGGUGUUCGGGUUGUCAUGCCAAUGGCACUGCCCGGUAGCUAAAUGCGGAAGAGAUAAGUGCUGAAAGCAUCUAAGCACGAAACUUGCCCCGAGAUGAGUUCUCCCUGAGACUUUAAGUCUCCUGAAGGAACGUUGAAGACGACGACGUUGAUAGGCCGGGUGUGUAAGCGCAGCGAUGCGUUGAGCUAACCGGUACUAAUGAACCGUGAGGCUUAACCUUACAACGCCGAAG